GUAUAUGGGCCUUGUCCAAAGGCCUUUGAAGUCAGUGGAAGUUUUUUCCACUGAAUUCAGUGGCCUUUGGAUGAAGCCCCAUAUAC
rnacentral:pre_miRNA from 1 species